UAACGCUACGGACUUAAAAUCCGUCGACUUUUAAAAUCGUGAGGGUUCAAGUCC
rnacentral:tRNA from 1 species